GGGUGACGUAGUUAUUCAACAGGGCAGGGAUGUCACACAAUUCUCAAACAGUGAAUUCAGGCAAAGGUCAAUUCAGGAAUAAAUGCCAAACAAGACCUACACUCAGGACCAUAGAGCAGUCAUUAUUUCAACAACAUAACAGCUGCUGAAAAAACACUGAUUUCAACAGUAUCUGCUGUGUUUCUUAUUCCUCAAAAAUCCACACUGCAGAGACGCCCAUCUUUCUUGAUCUCAUAGUUCUGGAAGUUGUUACCCAGACAUUACGUGUAACCCAGCUUCAACGGCAGACUUAGGCGAUAGCUAAAUUUGGGGGAUGGAUUACUACGAUCUGACUUGAAGCACAACUGAAACGAUUAUCAUGUUUGAGCAUGAAAACUAUUGCAAGCUGUAACACCUACAACAAAGUUUGCAUGGCCAUCUCACUGGUAUUUCCAUGCACAUGAUGAGUCUGAUCCUGUGAUGUUUGAAAACCAAGAAGUACCACUUGGUUGUUCCACUGCUACUUUGAGACAAUUCUGCUACUUGGCACAAAAUAGAAGCGUUGCCAGGAACGCUGUCUACACCCUGAGUAAAAAACAAAGUUCCAAAAGUGAAUGUGAGGGACAGAAACUAUAGAAAUGAGGAAAAAAUUCACUUACAUUUAUCCAAGAUGUCUGUCGCUAUUAGUGUUGAAACUCUGCUAUGGGCUGAGGUCACAAGACCCUGUAAGCUGAAACAGAGAAGCUUCAGCUGAGGGUAACUGAAGCUGCAGCACAUUAAAAUACAUAUUAGGAUUAUAGGUACUGAUUGGAGUUUUAAUUUCUUGAUCUAUUUUUCCCGAGGCAUGAAAAGUGACCUCUAUUUUUUGGUCAUUUUUCAAUCCUGGAGGGAAGCGAUUAUGAGUAUCCUCUUCCUCAUUAAAAGUGUUCAUGUACGUUAUAUACAGUACAUUAUAUGAUAGUAUGAUGCUUUCAUUGGCAUGAGUCUGGAGUUGCCACAUUAUUCACAGAUGGGGAAACCAUAUGUGAUUUAUGCAGAUUCUCCCAAACAAAACUAGAAUAAAACCCUUAUACAACAUCACAUCAUCAUGUAUGUAGCAAAUGUAUAUAAAAGAAAAGCUAGUUUAAAAUCUUUAAAAUGUG